rnacentral:rRNA from 1 species
AUUGAACGCUGGCGGCAGGCCUAACACAUGCAAGUCGAACGAGUGGCGGACGGGUGAGUAAUGUCUGGGAAACUGCCCGAUGGAGGGGGAUAACUACUGGAAACGGUAGCUAAUACCGCAUACCAUCGGAUGUGCCCAGAUGGGAUGAGCUAGUAGGUGGGGUAACGGCUCACCUAGGCGACGAUCCCUAGCUGGUCUGAGAGGGUGACCGGCAACACUGGGACUGAGACACGGUCCAGACUCCUACGGGAGGCAGCAGUGGGGAAUAUUGCACAAUGGGCGAAAGCCUGAUGGAGCCAUGCCGCGUGUGUGAAGAAGGCUUUCGGGUUGUAAAGCACUGUCAGCAAGGAGGCGUUACUUAAACAGAAAGCACCGGCUAACUCCGUGCCAGCAGCCGCGGUAAUAC